rnacentral:rRNA from 1 species
GACGAACGCUGGCGGCGUGCUUAACACAUGCAAGUCGAACGGAAAGGCCCUGCUUUUGUGGGGUGCUCGAGUGGCGAACGGGUGAGUAACACGUGAGUAACCUGCCCUUUACUUUGGGAUAACUUCAGGAAACUGGGGCUAAUACCGGAUAGGAGCUCCUGCUGCAUGGUGGGGGUUGGAAAGUUUCGGCGGUUGGGGAUGGACUCGCGGCUUAUCAGCUUGUUGGUGGGGUAGUGGCUUACCAAGGCUUUGACGGGUAGCCGGCCUGAGAGGGUGACCGGCCACAUUGGGACUGAGAUACGGCCCAGACUCAUAAGGGAGGCAGCAGUGGGGAAUAUUGCACAAUGGGCGGAAGCCUGAUGCAGCAACGCCGCGUGCGGGAUGACGGCCUUCGGGUUGUAAACCGCUUUCGCCUGUGACGAAGCGUGAGUGACGGUAAUGGGUAAAGAAGCACCGGCUAACUAAGUG